rnacentral:rRNA from 1 species
CUGCAGCCGCUGCUGGACAAGCUCCGCACACGCCUGGCGCGCUGGAAGGCCAGGCUGCUCACCCUUGCUGGUAGACUGGUUCUCCUCAACUCCGUCCUGACUGCUUUCACCAUAUACUGGUCGGCCGUCUAUGCGCUCCCGCCAUGGGUUCGUAAGGAGCUGGAUCGGCUACGGCGUGCAUGGUUAUGGCGUGGGGAGGAGGUGUGCCAUGGCGGGCAUUGCAAAGUUGUGUGGAGCCGUGUUUGCCGCCCGCGCGAUCUUGGCGGGCUCGGUAUCGUCGACCUGGAGCGGUUUGGCAUGGCGCUCCGCCUCCGCUGGCUCUGGGCGGAAAGGACCUCCGUC